UAACAAUUGGUAUCAGAAGAAGACGAUCGCAAUUGCCUCGGUAGCAUAGAUGUUGUCGAAGAUGAAGAAGAUGGGUGAUAAGCGAGAUAUAGUGAAGAAUGAUUCGUCCACUACUAGGUCAUGUUGGAGAAAAAACAGAAGAAAGAAGAAAGAAAAACCACCGUCCAUUGGUGAUUGGACGGUUCAUGUCAUUGUGUGAAAAUGAUUUAGGGGGCG
rnacentral:lncRNA from 1 species